GGUCAAGCGAAUAAGCGCACACGGUGGAUGCCUUGGCGGUCAGAGGCGAUGAAGGACGUGGCAGCCUGCGAAAAGUAUCGGGGAGCUGGCAACAAGCUUUGAUCCGGUAAUGUCCGAAUGGGGAAACCCACCCGCUUGCGGGUAUCCUGCAGUGAAUACAUAGCUGCUGGAAGCGAACCUGGUGAACUGAAAUAUCUAAGUAACCAGAGGAAAAGAAAUCAACCGAGAUUCCGUAAGUAGCGACGAGCGAACGCGGACUAGCCCUUAAGCUGAUUUGGUUCUAGGAAAACGCUCUGGAAAGAGCGGCCAUAGAAGGUGAUAGCCCUGUAUCUGAAAGGGCCAUUUCAGUGAAGACGAGUAGGGCGGGGCACGUGAAACCCUGUCUGAACAUGGGGGGACCAUCCUCCAAGGCUAAAUACUACUGACCGACCGAUAGUGAACCAGUACCGUGAGGGAAAGGCGAAAAGAACCCCGGAGAGGGGAGUGAAAUAGAACCUGAAACCGUGUGCGUACAAGCAGUAGGAGCUCCGCAAGGAGUGACUGCGUACCUUUUGUAUAAUGGGUCAGCGACUUACUGUUCGUGGCAAGCUUAACCGUAUAGGGGAGGCGAAGGGAAACCGAGUCUGAUAAGGGCGCAUAGUCGCGGGCAGUAGACCCGAAACCGGGUGAUCUAGUCAUGCCCAGGGUGAAGGUGCGGUAACACGCACUGGAGGCCCGAACCCACUCCCGUUGCAAAGGUAGGGGAUGAGGUGUGAUUAGGAGUGAAAAGCUAAUCGAACCCGGAGAUAGCUGGUUCUCCUCGAAAGCUAUUUAGGUAGCGCCUCAUAUGUAUCCUCUCGGGGGUAGAGCACUGUUAUGGCUAGGGGGUCAUCGCGACUUACCAAACCAUUGCAAACUCCGAAUACCGAGACGGACUGUAUGGGAGACACACGGCGGGUGCUAACGUCCGUCGUGAAAAGGGAAACAACCCAGACCCACAGCUAAGGUCCCAAAUUCACUGCUAAGUGGAAAACCAUGUGGAAAGGCACAGACAGCCAGGAGGUUGGCUUAGAAGCAGCCACCCUUUAAAGAAAGCGUAAUAGCUCACUGGUCGAGUCGGUCUGCGGGGAAGAUUUAACGGGGCUAAGCAGUGAACCGAAGCUUGGGGUGCAUAACUUUGUUAUGCGCGGUAGAGGAGCGUUCCGUAAGCCGUUGAAGGUGGAUUGAGAAGUCUGCUGGAGGUAUCGGAAGUGCGAAUGCUGACAUGAGUAACGAUAAUGCGGGUGAAAAACCCGCACGCCGAAAGCCCAAGGUUUCCUUGCGCAACGUUAAUCGGCGCAGGGUGAGUCGGCCCCUAAGGCGAGGACGAAAGUCGUAGUCGAUGGGAAGCAGGUUAAUAUUCCUGCACCUCGCGUAAGUGCGAUGGAGGGACGGAGAAGGUUAGGUGUACCAGGCGUUGGUUGUCCUGGGGAAAGGCGGUAGGUUUGGAUCUUUGGCAAAUCCGGGAUCCUCUAAGACCGAGCACCGAGACGAGCCUUUAAGGCGAAGUCACUGAUACCACGCUUCCAGGAAAAGCUCCUAAGCUUCAGCUUACGCAGACCGUACCGUAAACCGACACAGGUGGGUAGGAUGAGAAUUCUCAGGCGCUUGAGAGAACUCGGGUGAAGGAACUAGGCAACAUGGCACCGUAACUUCGGGAGAAGGUGCACCCUUUUUGGUGGCUCGUGCGAGCUAUAGCUGAAGAGGGUCGCAGUAACCAGGCCGCUGCGACUGUUUAUCAAAAACACAGCACUCUGCAAACACGAAAGUGGACGUAUAGGGUGUGACGCCUGCCCGGUGCUGGAAGGUUAAUUGAUGGGGUCAGCCGCAAGGCGAAGCUCUUGAUCGAAGCCCCAGUAAACGGCGGCCGUAACUAUAACGGUCCUAAGGUAGCGAAAUUCCUUGUCGGGUAAGUUCCGACCUGCACGAAUGGCGUAACGACAGCGGCGCUGUCUCCACCCGAGACUCAGUGAAAUUGAAAUCGCUGUGAAGAUGCAGCGUUCCCGUGGCAAGACGGAAAGACCCCGUGAACCUUUACUAUAGCUUUACACUGAACGUUGAGUUCGUCUGUGUAGGAUAGGUGGGAGGCUAUGAAACUGUGGCGCUAGCUGCAGUGGAGCCAUCCUUGAAAUACCACCCUGUCGUGCUUGACGUUCUAACCUGGGCCCAUUAUCUGGGUCGGGGACCGUGUAUGGUGGGUAGUUUGACUGGGGCGGUCUCCUCCUAAAGAGUAACGGAGGAGCUCGAAGGUACGCUCAGCGCGGUCGGACAUCGCGCACUGUGUGCAAAGGCAUAAGCGUGCUUGACUGCAAGAUCGACGGAUCAAGCAGGUAGGAAACUAGGACUUAGUGAUCCGGUGGUUCUGUAUGGAAGGGCCAUCGCUCAACGGAUAAAAGGUACUCCGGGGAUAACAGGCUGAUACCGCCCAAGAGUUCAUAUCGACGGCGGUGUUUGGCACCUCGAUGUCGGCUCAUCACAUCCUGGGGCUGUAGUCGGUCCCAAGGGUAUGGCUGUUCGCCAUUUAAAGUGGUACGCGAGCUGGGUUCAGAACGUCGUGAGACAGUUCGGUCCCUAUCUGCCAUGGGCGUUGGAGAUUUGAGAGGGGCUGCUCCUAGUACGAGAGGACCGGAGUGGACGAACCUCUGGUGUUCCGGUUGUCACGCCAGUGGCAUUGCCGGGUAGCUAUGUUCGGAAGCGAUAACCGCUGAAAGCAUCUAAGCGGGAAGCGCGCCUCAAGAUGAGAUCUCCCGGGGCACAAGCCCCCUGAAGGAACCAUGUAGACUACGUGGUUGAUAGGUCAGGUGUGUAAGUACAGCAAUGUAUUGAGCUAACUGAUACUAAUGAUCCGUGCGGCUUGACCAU
rnacentral:rRNA from 1 species